UACGAAGGGUGCAAGCGUUACUCGGAAUUACUGGGCGUAAAGCGUGCGUAGGUGGUUUGUUAAGUCUGAUGUGAAAGCCCUGGGCUCAACCUGGGAAUUGCAUUGGAUACUGGCAGGCUAGAGUGCGGUAGAGGAUGGCGGAAUUCCCGGUGUAGCAGUGAAAUGCGUAGAGAUCGGGAGGAACAUCUGUGGCGAAGGCGGCAUCCUGGACCGGUAUUGACACUGAGGAGCGAAAGCCAGGGGAGCAAACGGG
rnacentral:rRNA from 1 species